rnacentral:rRNA from 1 species
UACGAAGGGUGCAACCGUUGCUCGGAAUUAUUGGGCGUAAAGCGCACGUAGGCGGCAUUGCAAGUCGGAUGUGAAAUCCCUCGGCUUAACCAAGGAAGUGCAUCCGAAACUGCAGUGCUUGAGUACUUAAGAGGAUCGCGGAAUUCCCGGUGUAGAGGUGAAAUUCGUAGAUAUCGGGAGGAACACCAGUGGCGAAGGCGGCGAUCUGGGAAGAUACUGACGCUGAGGUGCGAAAGCGUGGGGAGCAAACAGG